rnacentral:tRNA from 2 species
GGCAUAGUGCCAGAGUGGUUAAUGGGUCAGACUUGAAUGCUGAGCAUUUAGUCAUCUGAUGGCUUCGGCCUCGCAAGGUAAAUACACAUUCGCACCAUUUCGGAAGUCUUUCCUAAUAGGUCUUUAGUUCGAAUCUUGUCUAUGUCG